AGUGAACGCUGGCGGUAGGCCUAACACAUGCAAGUCGAACGGCAGCACAGUAAGAGCUUGCUCUUACGGGUGGCGAGUGGCGGACGAGUGAGGAAUACAUCGGAAUCUACUUUUUCGUGGGGGAUAACGUAGGGAAACUUACGCUAAUACCGCAUACGACCUACGGGUGAAAGCAGGGGAUCUUCGGACCUUGCGCGAUUGAAUGAGCCGAUGUCGGAUUAGCUAGUUGGCGGGGUAAAGGCCCACCAAGGCGACGAUCCGUAGCCGGUCUGAGAGGAUGAUCAGCCACACUGGAACUGAGACACGGUCCAGACUCCUACGGGAGGCAGCAGUGGGGAAUAUUGGACAAUGGGCGCAAGCCUGAUCCAGCCAUACCGCGUGGGUGAAGAAGGCCUUCGGGUUGUAAAGCCCUCUUGUUGGGAAAGAAAAGCAGCAGGUUAAUACCCCGCUGUUCUGACGGUACCCAAAGAAUAAGCACCGGCUAACUUCGUG
rnacentral:rRNA from 1 species